UACAGAGGUCUCAAGCGUUGUUCGGAUUCAUUGGGCGUAAAGGGUGCGUAGGCGGCGCGGUAAGUCGGGUGUGAAAUCUUGGAGCUUAACUCCGAAACUGCAUUCGAUACUGCCGUGCUUGAGGACUGGAGAGGAGACUGGAAUUCACGGUGUAGCAGUGAAAUGCGUAGAUAUCGUGAGGAAGAACCAGUGGCGAAGGCGGGUCGUCUGGACAGUUCCUGACACUGAGGCACGAAGGCCAGGG
rnacentral:rRNA from 1 species